rnacentral:rRNA from 1 species
CCGGCGACCGGCGGACGGGUGCGUAACGCGUAUGUAACCUACCUUUGACAGGGGGAUAACAUCGAGAAAUUGGUACUAAUACCCCAUAACAUCACCGGAGGCAUCUUCGGUGGUUGAAAACUCAGGUGGUCAGAGAUGGACAUGCGUUGUAUUAGCUAGUUGGUGAGGUAACGGCUCACCAAGGUGACGAUACAUAGGGGGACUGAGAGGUCAACCCCCCACAUUGGUACUGAGACACGGACCAAACUCCUACGGAAGGCAGCAG